rnacentral:tRNA from 1 species
GAGGGUAUACCUCAGUGGUAGAGCACGUGCUUAACAUAUGCAAGGUCCUGGGUUCAAUCCCCAGUACCUUCA